rnacentral:rRNA from 1 species
GGCGGAGUGGGGGGCUGCCUAUACUGCAGUCGAGCGAACAGAUAAGGAACUUGCUCCUUUGACGUUAGCGGCGGACGGGUGAGUAACACGUGGGUAACCUACCUAUAAGACUGGAAUAACUCCGGGAAACCGGGGCUAAUGCUGGAUAAUAUUUAGAACCGCAUGGUUCUAAAGUGAAAGAUGGUUUUGCUAUCACUUAUAGAUGGACCCGCGCCGUAUUAGCUAGUUGGUGGGGUAAUGGCUUACCAAGGCAACGAUACGUAGCCGACCUGAAAGGGUGAUCGGCCACACUGGAACUGAGACACGGUCCAGACUCCUACGGGAGGCAGCAGUAGGGAAUCUUCCGCAAUGGGCGAAAGCCUGACGGAGCAACGCCGCGUGAGUGAUGAAGGUCUUCGGAUCGUAAAACUCUGUUAUUAGGGAAGAACAAAUGUGUAAGUAACUGUGCACGUCUUGACGGUACCUAAUCAGAAAGCCACGGCUAACUACGUGCCAGCAGCCGCGGUAAUACGUAGGUGGCAAGCGUUAUCCGGAAUUAUUGGGCGUAAAGCGCGCGUAGGCGGUUUCUUAAGUCUGAUGUGACAGCCCACGGCUCACCGUGGAGGGUCAUUGGAAACUGGUAAACUUGAGUGCAGAAGAGGAAAGUGGAAUUCCAUGUGUAGCGGUGAAAUGCGCAGAGAUAUGGAGGAACACCAGUGGCGAAGGCGACUUUCUGGUCUGUAACUGACGCUGAUGUGCGAAAGCGUGGGGAUCAAACAGGAUUAGAUACCCUGGUAGUCCACGCCGUAAACGAUGAGUGCUAAGUGUUAGGGGGUUUCCGCCCCUUAGUGCUGCAGCUAACGCAUUAAGCACUCCGCCUGGGGAGUACGACCGCAAGGUUGAAACUCAAAGGAAUUGACGGGGACCCGCACAAGCGGUGGAGCAUGUGGUUUAAUUUGAAGCAACGCGAAGAACCUUACCAAAUCUUGACAUCCUUUGACAACUCUAGAGAUAGAGUCUUCCCCUUCGGGGGACAAAGUGACAGGUGGUGCAUGGUUGUCGUCAGCUCGUGUCGUGAGAUGUUGGGUUAAGUCCCGCAACGAGCGCAACCCUUAAGCUUAGUUGCCAGCAUUAAGUUGGGCACUCUAAGUUGACUGCCGGUGACAAACCGGAGGAAGGUGGGGAUGACGUCAAAUCAUCAUGCCCCUUAUGAUUUGGGCUACACACGUGCUACAAUGGACAAUACAAAGGGCAGCUAAACCGCGAGGUCAUGCAAAUCCCAUAAAGUUGUUCUCAGUUCGGAUUGUAGUCUGCAACUCGACUACAUGAAGCUGGAAUCGCUAGUAAUCGUAGAUCAGCAUGCUACGGUGAAUACGUUCCCGGGUCUUGUACACACCGCCCGUCACACCACGAGAGUCUGUAACACCCGAAGCCGGUUGAGUAACCAUUUAUGAGCUAGCCGUCGUAAAAUGGGAUCCUAUUGCGCUCCU